GGUAGCCAAGCCCGGAAGGGAUAAACGCUGAAGGCAUCUAAGCGUGAAGCCCCCCUCAAGAUGAGAUAUCCCAUCCGAAAGGAGUAAACCCCCUUGAAGACGACGAGGUCGAUAGGGCAGGGGUGGAAGUGUGGUAACACAUGGAGCUGACUGCUACUAAUAGGGUGAGGGCUUGACCAAAAA
rnacentral:rRNA from 1 species